GUCUCGAUAGCUCAGUGGUAGAGCGGAAGAUUGCAGUAAAUGUUAUAAUCUUCAGGUCACGUGUUCGAACCACGUUCGGGACU